rnacentral:rRNA from 1 species
ACACACAGGUGCUGCAUGGCUGUCGUCAGCUCGUGUCGUGAGAUGUUGGGUUAAGUCCCGCAACGAGCGCAACCCUCGUCUCUAGUUGCUACCAUUUAGUUGGGCACUCUAGAGAAACUGCCGGUGAUAAGCCGGAGGAAGGUGGGGAUGACGUCAAGUCCUCAUGGCCCUUACGCGCUGGGCUACACACGUGCUACAAUGGCGGUGACAGUGAGCAGCGACCCCGCGAGGGUGAGCUAAUCUCCAAAAGCCGUCCCAGUUCGGAUUGUUCUCUGCAACUCGAGAGCAUGAAGGCGGAAUCGCUAGUAAUCGCGGAUCAGCAUGCCGCGGUGAAUACGUUCCCAGGCCUUGUACACACCGCCCGUCACACCAUGGGAGUUGGUUUCACCCGAAGGCGCUACGCUAACCGCAAGGAGGCAGGCGAC